UACGAAGGGGGCUAGCGUUGCUCGGAAUCACUGGGUGUAAAGCGCACGUAGGCGGAUUGCUAAGUCAGGGGUGAAAUCCUGGAGCUCAACUCCAGAACUGCCUUUGAUACUGGGAGUCUCGAGUCCGGGAGAGGUGAGUGGAACUGCGAGUGUAGAGGUGAAAUUCGUAGAUAUUCGCAAGAACACCAGUGGCGAAGGCGGCUUUCUGGACGGUAACUGACGCUGAGACGCGAAAGCGUGGGGAGCAAACAGG
rnacentral:rRNA from 1 species